GUGGACGUGGAGGAUGCAGGACAGUCGCUGAGAAUUUUUAGGACUUUCCAGUUCCAGUUUAGACCUGAAUGUGACGGGUUUGUGUUGCUGUUUGGCAUUCCUAAUUCAAGGAAAUCCCCUCUUCUGGUUGAAAGCACGGUGUGAUUCCCUGGCCCUCCUGCAUCAGCAUCACCUGGAUAAUACAACCGGCAAAUAACCGGAUCCUGCUACAGAUCUGGUGCUGGAAGUGACACCUCAAAUGUCAGCUGAGCUAACCCAAGCUGCUUACCUUCAAGAUCGUUACCAGAGCCAAAACAGUGCUUAGGCUUUACCCACUCAGACUUCGAUGCCAGAAGAUAAAGUGAAAAAUAAAUAUGUGUCUAAAAAGGA